AACACGAUGCUAUGUGGCAUAUAGCCUAGGGUUGCCAAUUUUUAACCUAGCUCCUAUAAUUCUCACUUUUAACCUGCCAAUUGCUGCUGCUGGCUAAUUGGUCAUCCUAGAAGUAUAUCUACAGCAUAAGAAGAGUUAAUAACACCAGUCACACCACUACUUUCUUCUUACCUGAAACAGAUCCAGCCUCACUUUGCCAGGGCUUUUGUUUGGUUUUGGUUUUUUGCAGGGAACAUUCCAGUUUCCUUAAAGCAAACAGUUGUCACUUGAUUUCUUUUCUCUCUCAUCCCUGCCAAACUCUCUGGUCAACAUUUUGUUUCCUGGUAACAGCUGAGACACAGAUAAACAUCUGACACAUUGCUGGCAUUGCAGCAGCAGCAGCUUCUAGUUCCACAACAACAGAAGUCCCAGUCUUGAGAAGAAUAUGAAGAAGAAAAAAGAUAAAUAUUCCUGUCUUCCCACCCACAGAUUUCAUCCAAAAGUGAUAUAAUAGCAACCUUCAACUCAGGUCACAGUGCUCCUUCUGAGAUCUAAACCAGACCUGCCACAGAUGUCAGUCGGUUUCUGCAUGGUAGCUUUUAUCUUUGUGAAGGCAAGAGGCUCUCUGGUUCUUGUGUGCUGGUCAGGGCCUGUGGACUUUGUCAAAAUAUUGAUACGCUACAUCUUUCCCUAGAGCACAGCGCUCGUGACAGAAGGGGUAGAAAACCGGUUAAGAUCAAGUUGGAAAUAGUUAUAAGUUUUGGAUUUGGGAACUGGCAAAACAACCUUGGGCACCUCUGGAGAUAUUUUGUACUUAGAUCAAAGCAUAUUCUAUGUACACCUCUUGACUUCCAUCCAGCGCCAGCAUUCCUCAGGAGAUAGGAACAUUUCUGGCAUUCUUUUGAAACCAGCAAGGAGUAGGCCAUUCUUCAUGUCCCCUUAGCAGAAUUUACUCUUUAUGGAGAUAGAAAAUAGAGAGUUGCACAUAGCCUUAACCUAGAAAAAAUUGGCUGUUUUUCUGUGUGCGUAAAGUAGCACCUUUCUACAUGUUGGUAUCACCAGGGCUGGCCCCCCCCAGGAGGCAGACUGAAGCAGCCUCCUGGAGUAGCAGAAUCCCACGGUCAGCCUGCUGGCCUGGCCACCACUGAGUUGCACGGUGGUUUCUGCCAAGAUCUUGUGAGCUCUGUGGAAGCCACGGCAGUGGUGCAACCACAGUAAGCAAGGUUUGGGCAGGUGUGUGUGUGUGUGCCUGUGAUGGCGAACCAGAAUGGGCCACCCCUGGGUAUCAUUAUGGUGAAAACAGUAGAUACAUUUUAUCUGUGUUGGAACCAUACAUCCUUGAUUCUUCCUUUAUCAAUUUUUUAUUAAUACUCCUGAAGGCUGACAUUCAGUCCCCAAACUUACCUGACAAGAUUUGGCAGUGGAACAUGAGUGGUAAUAGCAAAUAAUAAGGUGUCCCUUUAGACAUGUAUGAACUCAGGACAUCUCCUUCUCCAUGGCGUAAUCAGGGUAUACUCUUAGAGAACACCUAGGAUUGCCUUGAUCCAGCACCACCGAACCUCCCCACAAAAUAAUAAUAAUAAUAAUAAUAAUAAUAAUAAUAAAUAAUAAUAAUAAUAUGUUUAUAUGCUGCCCAUUUAACUGGGCUAUCCCAGCCACACAAAAAUAAUCUAGCCUCCCUGCAAACCAAUCAGGAUGGAUACUCGAUAAACAGGUUGUCUGGAAAUGCCCUAGGUUGAAAGAGUGGUUGGGAUAAUCAAUAAUGCCAACUUUCUCCAAUAUUCCCACCAUAUUUUAUGCUUACAGAUCUGAAAUGCAACACAGAGAGCCCCAACCUUCUUAAGUGAGAUGUUUGAAUUGGGGAGCUACAAGAGGGACUCUUCCUUCUGUGUCUACCUGCAAACCUAAUUUUCUCUAUUCUAGCACAUGCUAGAAUAACCUCAGCAGAGUGAGAAUGAUGUGUGUCGGCAUAGCUCUGCCUGCAUUGGGAGGCCCAUAGUCGCUAUUCCUGGACCCAGCAGGCAGCAGAACUGAGCUGGCUAAGUGGGAACUUCAGGAGCUGCCAGGUGGGAUGUCAGUGAGGAGGCUUUCACUAUCUGAAUGUGCAGACUGGUGGCUCUUGGUGAUACCAAAUCAGCUCUGUUGCUCUAAACUGCAUCUGGCUCUGCAGUUGACCUUCCACACAUUCCAUAUUCUGUCCACACUGGUGAAUGUGGCAUAUCACUCUUGCUGAGUUGGAAGGAAAUACCCACUUCUGAACAUGCCAAUUUAAAAAUCCAUUUUUGAUCAGUUUUUAAAAGCUCACUAAUUUAAUUAGUGCUAAAGCAUUUUUAGGCACUCUUGUGUAAUUAAUACUUUAAAAAAUAAAGGUAUGGUUAAAACUG